rnacentral:rRNA from 1 species
CGUAGGGUGCGAGCGUUGUCCGGGAUUUAUUGGGCGUAAAGGGCUCGUAAGUGGUUGAUCGCGUCGGAAGUGUAAUCUUGGGGCUUAACCCUGAGCGUGCUUUCGAUACGGGUUGACUUGAGGAAGGUAGGGGAGAAUGGAAUUCCUGGUGGAGCGGUGGAAUGCGCAGAUAUCAGGAGGAACACCAGUGGCGAAGGCGGUUCUCUGGGCCUUUCCUGACGCUGAGGAGCGAAAGCGUGGGGAGCGAACAGGCUUAGAUACCCUGGUAGUCCACGCUGUAAACGGUGGGUACUAGGUGUGGGGUCCAUUCCACGGGUUCCGUGCCGUAGCUAACGCUUUAAGUACCCCGCCUGGGGAGUACGGCCGCAAGGCUAAAACUCAAAGGAAUUGACGGGGCCCCGCACAAGCGGCGGAGCAUGCGGAUUAAUUCGAUGCAACGCGUAGAACCUUACCUGGGUUUGACAUGGAUCGGGAGCGCUCAGAGAUGGGUGUGCCUCUUUUGGGGUCGGUUCACAGGUGGUGCAUGGCUGUCGUCAGCUCGUGUCGUGAGAUGUUGGGUUAAGUCCCGCAACGAGCGCAACCCUUGUUCACUGUUGCCAGCACGUUAUGGUGGGGACUCAGUGGAGACCGCCGGGGUCAACUCGGAGGAAGGUGGGGAUGACGUCAAGUCAUCAUGCCCCUUAUGUCCAGGGCUUCACGCAUGCUACAAUGGCUGGUACAGAGAGUGGCGAGCCUGUGAGGGUGAGCGAAUCUCGGAAAGCCGGUCUCAGUUCGGAUUGGGGUCUGCAACUCGACCUCAUGAAGUCGGAGUCGCUAGUAAUCGCAGAUCAGCAACGCUGCGGUGAAUACGUUCCCGGGGCUUGUACACACCGCCCGUCAAGUCAUGAAAGUUGGUAACACCCGAAGCCGGUGGCCUAACCGUUGUGGGGGGAGCCGUCGAAGGUGGGACUGGGUGAUUAGGACUAAGUCGUACAAAGGUA